AGCAGCCGCGGUAAUUCCAGCUCCAAUAGCGUAUAUUAAAGUUGUUGCAGUUAAAAAGCUCGUAGUUGAAUUUCGGGGUUUAUCCGUUGGUCGGGCUUUUGGGUCUGUACUGGCGUGAUGGAUUCCUACCUUCUGAAUAACCAGCAUGUCAUUAAUUUGGUGCGUUGGGGAAGCAGGACUGUUACCUUGAAAAAAUUAGAGUGCUUAAAGCAGGCUAUUGCCUGAAUACAUUAGCAUGGAAUAAUGAAAUAGGACGCAUGGUUCUAUUUUGUUGGUUUCUAGGAUCACCGUAAUGAUUAAUAGGGAUAGUUGGGGGCAUUAGUAUUCAAUUGUCAGAGGUGAAAUUCUUGGAUUUAUUGAAGACUAACUUCUGCGAAAGCAUUUGCCAAGGAUGUUUUCAUUAAUCAAGAACGAAAGUUAGGGGAUCGAAGACGAUCAGAUACCGUCGUAGUCUUAACCAUAAACUAUGCCGACUAGGGAUCGGACGAUGUUAAUUUUUUAAUGACUCGUUCGGCGCCUUACG
rnacentral:rRNA from 1 species